rnacentral:rRNA from 1 species
AGGGAAACGCCCGGUUACAUUCCGAACCCGGAAGCUAAGCCUUUCAGCGCCGAUGGUACUGCAGGGGGGACCCUGUGGGAGAGUAGGACGCCGCCGAAC